AUUGUUGUUGAGUUUUGUCAGAAUUAUGGCAUGGUUCACGUCGAAUCCACUUUCGGCUUCAUAUUCAUUUGUUUUAUUUUUUAUUUUUUUGUCUCUUCUUUCUACCCGCAGGCCACAAAUUGAUAAUAGAAAGCUUGAAAUUGUUAUAUGGAGAUAUUUUCAAAAUAUUGAUAUGGUUUUGAAGAUCAUAUUAAAAAUCAGUUAAAUAAUUUUCUAAUAAAGACACUUUGAAACGUAUUGAAGUUAAAACUCGGGUAGUGAAUGUAUAUAAAUGGUCUCUUUCUG
rnacentral:lncRNA from 1 species